UACGGAGGGUGCAAGCGUUAUCCGGAUUCACUGGGUUUAAAGGGUGCGUAGGUGGGUUGGUAAGUCAGUGGUGAAAUCCCCGAGCUUAACUUGGGAACUGCCAUUGAUACUAUCAAUCUUGAAUACUGUGGAGGUCAGCGGAAUAUGUCAUGUAGCGGUGAAAUGCUUAGAUAUGACAUAGAACACCAAUUGCGAAGGCAGCUGGCUACACAAUUAUUGACACUGAGGCACGAAAGCGUGGGGAUCAAACAGG
rnacentral:rRNA from 1 species